rnacentral:rRNA from 1 species
GGUAACCUUGCCUGUAAGAACUGGGAUAACUCCGGGAAACCGGGGCUAAUACCGGAUGCUUGAUUGAACCGCAUGGUUCAAUCAUGAAAGGCGGCUUCGGCUGCCGUUUACAGAUGGACCCGCGGCGCAUUAGCUAGUUGGUGAGGUAACGGCUCACCAAGGCGACGAUGCGUAGCCGACCUGAGAGGGUGAUCGGCCACACUGGGACUGAGACACGGCCCAGACUCCUACGGGAGGCAGCAGUAGGGAAUCUUCCGCAAUGGACGAAAGUCUGACGGAGCAACGCCGCGUGAGUGAU